rnacentral:rRNA from 1 species
UACAGAGGAGCCAAGCGUUGUCCGGAUUGACUGGGCGUAAAGCGCACGCAGGCGGAUGCGCGCGUGGGGUGUGAAAUCUGGCCGCUUAACGGCCAGGCGCCAUCCCAUACGGCGCGUCUGGAGUGAUGCAGAGGUCGGUGGAAUUGCCGGUGUAGUGGUGGAAAUGCGUAGAGAUCGGCAGGAACACCCAGGGGGAAACCAGCCGACUGGGCAU